GAGGCAAGCGAGACGAAAUUCCGCGCAAGAAAAAAGGUGAACCGCCGAAUGAAAGGAACACACAAGUCGAAGAAGACCGGGUCAUGAAAGCGCGGGGUCUUCCGUUUUCCGUGCCGACCGACUGCACUUUUCAAGGAUCGGUGUGCGUGCGUUUUCGAUUCGUACACAACUGCUAGUGUAUCCGAGACAGAACGAUCCCCUGCCUCUCGCUGUAUAGACACCGUUUCCACGGAGAGGGAGCGUUUCCACAUCGCAAGAAAGCGUUUCUUUUCCUCCUUCGUACUUUCCUCCUGGUUCGUGUGCGCCUGUUCUCUGGUUGGCCUCUCAGCUGCGAAACACGGGGCGCCGUCCACAACGAAGCCUUCUCUUCGCCAGGGCGCAAACAGCUGUCGCGUGCGAAAUGCAAAACACCUCCGAGGUCCCCUCCACCACUUUUGUGCUAAUAAGCGUUCUCCUAUUCGUUAUUUUCCUUCAACGGCCUCUCCUUAACUCUCAACGACGGGGCGACUAGGAGCACAGUCGCGCCGUCCUCGGCGAACGAGCACAGGUGCGCCUAACGCGAGACGCUUUCCGACCGCCUGUCAAGCUUUUCGGGCGCGAAUGUGUCUUUCCCUCACGCUAUCUCCUUCGUCUCCUCUUAUGGUUCCACGUCUUUCUUCUGGUGGCUGUUCUCGGCUGUUUCGUUGGUUCUCUCCCACCACCUCGGCUCUCCCUUCUCGUCUCACGCUCCUC
rnacentral:lncRNA from 1 species